UACGAAGGGUGCAAACGUUGCUCGGAAUUAUUGGGCGUAAAGCGCACGUAGGCGGCCUUGUAAGUCGGAUGUGAAAUCCCUCGGCUUAACCGAGGACGUGCAUCCGAAACUGUGAGGCUCGAGUAUGGAAGAGGGUCGCAGAAUUCCCGGUGUAGAGGUGAAAUUCGUAGAUAUCAGGAGGAAUACCAGUGGCGAAGGCGGCGACCUGGGCCAAUACUGACGCUGAGGUGCGAAAGCGUGGGGAGCAAACAGG
rnacentral:rRNA from 1 species